rnacentral:lncRNA from 1 species
AAAUAUAUUGCGUAUGACAAACAAAUAAGAGAAAUAAAUUUCGAUGACCUCGUGGAAGAAAUGGUACCGUCACCAUCGUCUGGCGGCCAUGCAGAUAUAAUCCAGAAGGUGGAUGCAUUGAGACCCGUCUCACUACCAUUGCAAAGUCCCUAACAGACAAAAUUCCAGAAAAGGCCGAGGUGCAGGCAUAAAGUAAAUUAUUGCGCGAAUGCCGCGUCAUAGCGAUAAAGACGCACUACCGCAUUACCGGUGACUUGGAGAACGAGCAUUACGUGGAGCUUGCUUCGAAAUUGCCAAUGUCAACGGAAGAGCACGUGCGCUUCGUGGAAGACAAACUUUCACAAAAGGAAAACACGUCUGCUAUGAUGUGGCUAAUAUUGUAGUCAUGGGCGCAAAAGGCAAUGUGGACGGCAUACUGCGUGGUAUGUUUUCUGACGAAGGAAUCCCUACUAAAGCUGAAGUCCGUAGGGUUAGUUUUUGAUAUAUUUUCUGACAAGGAUAAAAACACAAUCUGUGGAGAGCUCCGGAGAUUUGUGGCCUUAAGCCAAAAUCGUUUUAAGCAAAAAAAGCAUAAACUUAAGGCAAAAUUAAUAUAAGUUUUCUUAUUAUUACUUAUAUAUAUUACUUUUAAGAUGUAAAUAUUAGUUUUAAGUUGUACAUGUUAGUUUUAAGUUGUAUAUAUUAGUCCUAAGUUGUACAUAUUAGUUUUAAUUUGAAGCUUCUAAUUUUACUUUUACAAAUAUGAAUUUUUAGAAUUAUAAUUUCUAUACUGAAAUAAACUUAAUUUGUAUUAUUUUUCUGCCGAAUGUAAUAUUA